GGGUGCGUGGCAGAGAGGCCGAUUGCGGCUGCCUGUAAAGCAGUCUCCCACGGGACACGGUGGUUCGAAUCCAUCCGCACCCACCA
rnacentral:tRNA from 2 species